rnacentral:lncRNA from 1 species
UUGAAAAAUAAAUAAAUAAAUGCCUUCAAACGACAUGUGUAUAUGGGAAUUUCAACAUUUACUAUUUCAUUAUGGCUUUAUAAAUACAUUUAUCUUAAUUUAGCAGAAAAUGAUUUGCAGAACAGGAUGCAACCCUCUGGCGCACCUUGAAAAGUCGUAAGGUUGUAAGUCCCUGGCGUAGAUGGAAAAUGCUCGUAAACUUGGCCUGCUGCAAAUCAAAUCAUGCACAUGGUUUUUUUUUUAUGUGAUGGUGGGGAGGAG